ACAAAGUGACAUCAUGAUAGGUCCACACAAAGUGACAUCAUGAUAGGUCCACACAAAGUGACAUUAUGAUAGGUCCACACAAAGUGACAUCAUGAUAGGUCCACACAAAGUGACAUCAUGAUAGGUCCACACAAAGUGACAUUAUGAUAGGUCCACACAAAGUGACAUCAUGAUAGGUCCACACAAAGUGACAUUAUGAUAGGUCCACACAAAGUGACAUCAUGAUAGGUCCACACAGAGUGACAUUAUGAUAGGUCCACACAAAGUGACAUCAAGAUAGGUCCACACAAAGUGACAUCAUGAUAGGUCCACACAGAGUGACAUUAUGAUAGGUCCACACAAAGUGACAUCAAGAUAGGUCCACACAAAGUGACAUAAGGAUAGGUCCACACAAAGUGACAUUAUGAUAGGUCCACACAGAGUGACAUUAUGACAGGUCCACACAAAGUGACAUCAAGAUAGGUCUACACAAAGUGACAUCAAGAUAGGUCCACACAAAGUGACAUCAUGAUAGGUCCACACAAAGUGACAUCAUGAUAGGUCCACACAAAGUGACAUUAUG